rnacentral:rRNA from 1 species
GACGGCCUUCGGGUUGUAAACCUCUUUCAGUAGGGAAGAAGCGAAAGUGACGGUACCUGCAGAAGAAGCGCCGGCUAACUACGUGCCAGCAGCCGCGGUAAUACGUAGGGCGCAAGCGUUAUCCGGAAUUAUUGGGCGUAAAGAGCUCGUAGGCGGUUUGUCGCGUCUGCCGUGAAAGUCCGGGGCUCAACUCCGGAUCUGCGGUGGGUACGGGCAGACUAGAGUGAUGUAGGGGAGACUGGAAUUCCUGGUGUAGCGGUGAAAUGCGCAGAUAUCAGGAGGAACACCGAUGGCGAAGGCAGGUCUCUGGGCAUUAACUGACGCUGAGGAGCGAAAGCAUGGGGAGCGAACAGGAUUAGAUACCCUGGUAGUCCAUGCCGUAAACGUUGGGCACUAG